rnacentral:tRNA from 1 species
UGGCUCAGUUGGUAGAGCAUGGUGUUUGCAACGCCAGUGUCGUGGGUUCGAUUCCCAC